CCUCAUUAUCUUGUAUUACCUGAUAAGUCUGAACAUCAUGAAGUAAAGAUGUAUGUUAGUCAAGAUGAUAUCAAAGUCGUCACUUCAAAAAAGAUAGAAAUGAAAUUCUGAGUGAUUAUUUUAGGAGUUUAAUGGCAUCAUUUAUGAACCAAGGGAAUUCUUAAAACAUUUAUAUCCUCUUGAUUAAACAAAUUUCAACCAUAAAA